GUGCAAGCGUUAAUCGGAAUUACUGGGCGUAAAGCGCGCGUAGGUGGUUCGUUAAGUUGGAUGUGAAAUCCCCGGGCUCAACCUGGGAACUGCAUUCAAAACUGACGAGCUAGAGUAUGGUAGAGGGGGGUGGAAUUUCCUGUGUAGCGGUGAAAUGCGUAGAUAUAGGAAGGAACACCAGUGGCGAAGGCGACCACCUGGACUGAUACUGACACUGAGGUGCGAAAGCGUGGGGAGCAAACAGGAUUAGAAACC
rnacentral:rRNA from 1 species